UACGUAGGAUGCAGGCGUUACUCGGAAUUACUGGGCGUAAAGCGUGCGCAGGCGGUCUUUUAAGUCAGAUGUGAAAUCCCCGGGCUUAACCUGGGAACUGCGUUUGAAACUGGAAGGCUAGAGUGUGGCAGAGGGGAGUGGAAUUCCACGUGUAGCAGUGAAAUGCGUAGAGAUGUGGAGGAACACCGAUGGCGAAGGCAGCCCCCUGGGCUAACACUGACGCUCAUGCACGAAAGCGUGGGGAGCAAACAGG
rnacentral:rRNA from 1 species